rnacentral:rRNA from 1 species
AUUGAACGCUGGCGGCAUGCUUUACACGUGCAAGUCGAACGGUAACAGGCCGCAAGGUGCUGACGAGUGGCGAACGGGUGAGUAAUGCAUCGGAACGUGCCCAGUCAUGGGGGAUAACUACUCGAAAGAGUAGCUAAUACCGCAUACGAUCUAUGGAUGAAAGCGGGGGACCGUAAGGCCUCGCGCGAUUGGAGCGGCCGAUGUCAGAUUAGGUAGUUGGUGGGGUAAAGGCUCACCAAGCCAACGAUCUGUAGCUGGUCUGAGAGGACGACCAGCCACACUGGGACUGAGACGCGGCCCAGACUCCUACGGGAGGCAGCAGUGGGGAAUUUUGGACAAUGGGCGCAAGCCUGAUCCAGCAAUGCCGCGUGCAGGAAGAAGGCCUUCGGGUUGUAAACUGCUUUUGUACGGAACGAAACGGCUCUGGUUAAUACCCGGGGCUAAUGACGGUACCGUAAGAAUAAGCACCGGCUAACUACGUG